GUGAGAGCAGACACUGAGCUGAGAGGAUUUAUCCUUGGACGAAAAACACUAAAAGUUGAUUAAUGUUAACUAAAAUAGAAUGGUUAACUUUUCUAAAUAUAACAACCCGACGUGAUUACAGCCAGGGGGACUCGUCGUCACCUGUUGCCGAGAAGUACCCGCAUUGAUUUGAGACGACCAGAUAUCCUUGCCACUGUGAUGUCAUAAGACAGUCGACUACCCUACGCCAAGACGAUGAGGUCUCCAAGGAAGAAACAUUCACCACCGGAGAAUCUUGGACCCCCGAGGGCAACAACGUACUCCUGCCGUGAAUGGAACCAGAGACUGAGACAAUCACAGCCAUAUACUGACAUGCGCUACACACCCUAAGUUUAGCUCACAAGCAUAACCUACUAACUUCCCCAUAGUUAUUAAAUUACCAGCAUAAUGUU